ensembl:lncRNA
GGAAAGAAGAGGGAUAUAAUUUCCAACCCAGGAGGGAAAGAAGUGGUGGGAGUAGGGAUAAUGUGUCAAUCCAACAAGGCAGGAAAAGGAAAAAGAACUAAAGGAAAACUAGUAAAGAGAAAACAAAGAGUAACACGACCCCAGAUGCAUCAGGGUAAAGGGUUAUACUCGUAUGUUAAACAACUACCAGAUAAAAGGCAAAUAACGAGUGGUCUGAAGCCUGGAGAGACUGGUCAGUGGGCACAGGGGCUGAACAGGAACCACCCUGGCCUUCGCCAUAGAAGUGGUUCUGUUCUUUAAAUAACUUGUUUUUCCCUUGUGCUAUAUUCUGGCCUCUCCUCAAUUGUUUCUGUCUGGGUUUGCCUUGCUACUGAGAUAGUAUUGUUUUUCCAGACCGCUUCCUGCCUUCUGUAUAUACGUAUAACAAAACCCUGGAUUCUGUCCUGCCACAGGACACCAACACACCAUGCAGGGACUCGUUUAAGGGCAGGUGUGGUGCAGCGCCGAGACCCUGCACCCCCCGUCCCCCUGCCCUGCUGCUUGCCCAUGCCCCAGGACUCAGCAUCCCUCCCUUGGAGCCUGUUUCUUAGGGUGCACCAUCGAUCCUCUCGCAAUGAAGACUGAUGGUUUAUUUCUCCCGGGCUUAUUGGAAAGUUAGCCAGGCUGGAAGAGCUGUAUUAGCUCUUGCUUUCUGGUUUCCUGGCUGCCAACUCUGGACAGCGUCAGCAGUCCUGGAGCUGAGAUCUCAGACUGAACAUCCAGUCAGAGUGAGGUGUCCUGCAGUAAGACGGGCUCCUGAAGCAGACACUGCCGGAGGGGUUGUAACUGGGGAGCAAGGGGGCCUGAGUCACUAGGAUAACUGAGGGGUCUGUGCCAGAGGCUGGUGCCAGUGUGUGGCAAUGGAUGAGUUCAGGCAGCCAGGCAUGCAGAGGUCAAGCCAGCCGUUCUCAGAUCAAGGACGUGGGCUCCAGUUCAGUGAGAAGGGGGGUUGUCGGGUCCCUCCCUCCGCAUCUUGACUGAUUCCCACCCCCACCCCCCAGGCAUCUGCUGUUGCCACACCCAGGAGGCAGGCAAUUUGCUGGGUUGCUCGGUGGCCAGGUUCUGGGACACAGGGAGCACUUUGAUUAUUGUACCCCAGUAAGUGGGAAAAGCCUCUCUGUAAGGAAGGCAGUGAGAGCCUGUGGAGGGAGCCCUGGCCUUGGAGCCAUCAGCCCUGGGAUGGCAUUAAAGCUCCGUCCCUCACCGCCUGGCUGACCUCGUUCGGCUGUCUUGGGACUUCUGUGAAUACCGAAUGAGAGGCUGUGCCUGUGAAUGCUCAGAAACGCGGAAAGCAUCACACAUGUGAGUACUAAUCUGUGGCUUGAUGCCUUUCCGUUGAGGCUCUGAGACACAUCCUUAGGCCGCGUGUCUGGGUGGAAAGAGCGAGCUUUAUCAGAGUCUCGGGCUGGGAUUUUCUUUCCUUCUGUCCAACCCCUCCAGCUUCAAGCAGCCGCCCUCCCCCCAGCCUCUGCUCCUUAUUUUGACGUUUCUUUUCUCUGCCUGCCAAGAAGAUUGUGUUCAGCUGCGCUGGUCUGAGGCUGUGCUAUCCUGUGCUUCAUUAGGUUAAUUCGAUGGCUUGUCUCCUGGGAACGGACCAGAGACUGGCUCUAAAACCGCACUCGCCUCCAAAACCCAGUUCCCACUGUUCUCCUUUGGGGCUGGCUUUGCUGCUCAGUUCCAUAUGCCUGCUUUUCCUUUCUUCCACCUGCAAGCUGGCUAGGGCCUCCUUUGGCUUCCCUUGGUUCUUUGUAUUGGUGUAGUUGUUCAGGCUUGCAUCCCCUGCUGGGUAGAAGGCUCUAGGGGAGACCAACAACAGUUCCUCAAGCCUGCCCUCGACCUUCUGGAUUCUAGUCGCCAGUUCCUCUGUUCAGCCUCAGCAUCUUGAAUUCAGCAAGCCUUUCAGAGGGCAUUUAUCAUUAAACGGUAUCACCAGAUUUGCUGGCUUUGCGACCACAGCCUUCUUGGAUGACCCUAGCAUUGCCUUGCCUCCCACCAAAUCCCCGUUUCUCUCCUCUCUCAGAGGAUUGCUUCUCAUCUAUCUCUGUAAAUCUCCAACCGCAACUGUAAAGGUGCAUCACUCCCCGUGCCUGAGCCCGGGCUCCGCUUCGCCUCCUGCUAGCCUGCAUAUGGGAUCUCAGCUCCCCAACCAGGGAUCCCCACACCCCCUGCAUUGGAAGGCAAAGUCUUAACUACCGGACCACCAGGGAAGUCCAUGAGCUUAAGCUUUUAAAUCAGCUUCACAGGACAAGCAGACUGGACUCACCAGUUUUAUAAUUCAUUGAUCCCAAAUAUCCAGUCUUUGGUGAGAAACUUCAUUUCCACCCAGUCCAGAGGAAGACUACAGUUGCUCAGAAUGUCUUCUCACACGGGACAUCACAAAAUAAAUUAGCCCAGGACAGAUGGGGGAACUUUCUAAUCUCUCAUCAUGUUCCCAUGCCAUAUUUUCUGUGAGAAAGAUGUUUUUAAAUUUUUCUUAAAAAAAAAAUACUGUUCACAUCCAUGUUUUUUAAGUAAUGCCAGAU